rnacentral:lncRNA from 1 species
GCCAUUGUUCCGCUGCGGGAUCUUGGGACCCCGACCUUCGGGGGCUUAUUUUUGGGCGCGGCUGUGCCCGUGGCCUAUUUUUGGCACACGGAGGCCGCCCGCCAAGUCUGGGGACAUUCCGAGUCCCGCGGACGAACUUCGCCCACGCCCCCCACAUAGGCUAUAGCCCACCCGUUUUUUGGCCAUUUUUCCGCUGGGGGGUCUUGGGACCCCGACCUCCGGGGGCUUAUUUUUGGGCGCGGCUGUGCCCGUGGCCUAUUUUUGGCACACGGAGGCCGCCCGCCAAGUCUGGGGCCAUUCCGAGUCCCGCGGACGAACUUCGCACACGCCCCCCACAUAGGCUAUAACCCACCCGUUUUUUGGCCAUUUUUCCGCUGGGGGGUCUUGGGACCCCGACCUUGGGGGGCUGAUUUUUGGGCGCGGCUGUGCCCGUGGCCUACUUUUGGCACACGGAGGCCGCCCACCAAGUCUGGGGCCAUUCCGAGUCCCGCGGACGAACUUCGCCAACGCCCCCCACAUAGGCUAUAGCCCACCCACUUUUUGGCCAUUUUUCCGCUGGGGGGUCUUGUGACCCCGACCUUCGGGGGCUGAUUUUUGGGCGCGGCUGUGCCCGUGGCCUAUUUUUUGCACACGGAGGCCGCCCGCCAAGUCUGGUGCCAUUCCGAGUCCCGCGGACGAACUUCGCCCACGCCCCCCACCAAGGCUAUAGCCCACCCGUUUUUUGGCCAUUUUUCGGCUGGGGGGUCUUGGGACCCCGACCUUCGGGGGCUGAUUUUUGGGCGCGGCUGUGCCCGUGGCCUAUUUUUGGCACACGGAGGCCGCCCGCCAAGUCUGGGGCCAUUCCGAGUCCCGCGGACGAACUUCGCCCACGCCCCCCACCAAGGCUAUAGCCCACCUGUUUUUUGGCCAUUUUUCCGCUGGGUGGUCUUGGCACCCCGACCUUCGGGGGCUGAUUUUUGGGCGCGGCUGUGCCCGUGGCCUAUUUUUUGCACACGGAGGCCGCCCGCCAAGUCUGGUGCCAUUCCGAGUCCCGCGGACGAACUUCGCCCACGCCCCCCACCAAGGCUAUAGCCCACCCGUUUUUUGGCCAUUUUUCGGCUGGGGGGUCUUGGGACCCCGACCUUCGGGGGCUGAUUUUUGGGCGCGGCUGUGCCCGUGGCCUAUUUUUGGCACACGGAGGCCGCCCGCCAAGUCUGGGGCCAUUCCGAGUCCCGCGGACGAACUUCGCCCACGCCCCCCACCAAGGCUAUAGCCCACCCGUUGUUUGGCCAUUUUUCCUCUGGGGGGUCUUGGGACCCCGACCUUCGGGGGCUAAUUUUUGGGCGCGGCUGUGCCCGUGGCCUAUUUUUGGCACACGGAGGCCGCCCGCN